GUUUUGGAGGAAAAAGUUUUUUUUGCAGUUUCGGGUUUGAUCCGUUUCCGUGGAUUCGCAUAUUUUUGCGGAUCCGGGUCUUAAGUACUGCUUAUUCGCAUAAUAAUGAUGCAGAUUCCUAGCACUGAAUUGUUCAUAACUGACGAAUAAUGUGUUAAAGCAUACUGUUUGUUUCAGGGCAUGUCGAAUUGCGUGUGGAAAUUUCUGAAAUAUUCUGCUUUGUCCACGACUGGAUAGUGUUGACUGGUUAUACAAGGAAUGAUCUAGCUGCAGUGGGUUUUAAAGGAUCCCUGUCAACAUUUUAGUAAAAUACGAUGAUAGAAUGUAAGUCGCAGGAUUGGUGGAUUUUGAGAAGGGGACUGGUUCUGUAUUUAAAUAGCAUGUGUGAAGGCAUCUAGGUUAUCGCAUUGAUUUUGGUUUACGAACUUUGGGAGAAAAUCUUCAGCUGCUCCUCCGCUAUGCAGUACAAGUCUUAUAUUUCACUUACAAUUUAUUUCAUUCAAGAAGUAUCUUUUGUUUUGUUUCUAUUUAGACAAUGUUUAAGAAAAUUAUAAGAGUUUAUUUUUAUUGGUUGCCUCUCGAAAGACUUAAAUAUCAAAUUAUUUUUUUUUUUUUGCAUAGCGCAGGUUUAUGGCGGCUGAGGGUUACUUAUCACCUGGGCCACAGACCAUGUUCUUAAAAGUUCGACAAUUUUAUACUUAAGUUAAGUUGUAAAAUAAAUUUUUUUACAAAAAAAA